GGCGGUGGCGGGAGGAGGCGCAGGCGCGCUGCUUGCCCGUCUGCAGCCCCGCGCCGAGAGCGCCUGGUCUCCGGGAGUUGAUGGCAGCACCACAGUGCGGCCGCCCGGCCGAGCGCACCGCACAGCCACCCGCCUUUGCCCUCCGAGCAGCCGAUAUGUGGGGGGACUGGGGUGGGAGCGGCCGGAGCAGCGCCAGGGACCCGGGCGCGCAGCAGCCUCUGCUUGCUCGCCUGUCCUGACCUGACCUGGCUCGCUAGUCUCCCCCCCGAAGAAUGUCAGCCAAGUCCAAGGGGAACCCCUCCUCGUCCUCCGCAGCCGAGGGACCUCCGGCAGCCUCCAAAACCAAGGUGAAGGAGCAGAUCAAGAUCAUAGUGGAGGAUCUGGAAUUAGUCCUGGGCGAUCUGAAGGACGUAGCCAAAGAACUUAAGGAGGUGGUUGACCAGAUUGAUACCUUGACUUCUGACCUACAGCUGGAGGAUGAGAUGACUGACAGCUCCAAAACAGACACUCUGAACAGUAGCUCCAGCGGCACAACAGCUUCCAGCAUAGAGAAGAUCAAAGUGCAGGCCAACGCCCCACUCAUUAAAGCUCCAGCGCACCCAUCUGCUAUCCUCACGGUUCUGAGAAAGCCAAACCCACCACCACCUCCUCCAAGGUUGACACCAGUGAGGUGUGAAGAGCCUCAAAGGGUGGUGCCAGCCGUCAAUCCUGUAAAGACCAACGGCACCCUUCUACGGAAUGGAGGCUUACCGGGCAGACCCAACAAAAUUCCAAAUGGAGACUUCUGCUGCAUACCCAAUAGUAACUUGGACAAGGCUCCAGUGCAGACUCUGAUACACAGACCUGAAAAGGACAGGAGUCCCCAAGCAGGGCCUCGGGAACGAGUGAGGUUCAACGAAAAAGUACAAUACCAUGGCUACUGUCCUGACUGUGAGACCCGGCAUAACAUAAAAAAUAGGGAGGUCCAUUUGCACAGUGAACCAGUCCAUCCACCGGGAAAGCUCCCUCACCAAGGCCCUCCCUUCCCUCCUCCACCUCACCUCCCCACUUUCCCGCUAGAAAAUGGGGGACUGGGAAUAAGCCACAGUAACAGCUUCCCCCCUCCCACUCCCGCAGCCGUGCCUCCCCCCACUGCACCCAAACCGCAGAAGACCAUCUUGAGAAAAUCUACCACUACCACAGUGUGAUGGCUGCCACUUAAGAAAACUUUUUGUUGGUUUUUAAUUUUCUAUAUGAUAAACGUAAAAUGAUAAGUAAUGAGCACUUUCUACUCAAGCAAUAAAAAGCCCAAAUAUAUUAAUCUGCAUUCAACAAAGGGGCAUACAAAUCACCUGCUUUAUCAGGUUGGAAGGAAUACUUUUAUUUAGAGGCAUGUGGAUCCACUUUUCUUAUUUCAAAUUCAUCCUUGACCUCUUGAGACCAGAUCUAAUUUCAGUAUAACCACAAGCCUGACCCUGUCAUAGAAGCCAACCCUUCCUUUGGAGCACAAAUGACCAAUGAGAUGAUCUCCAUAAAAUCAUCUGCCUCCAACUUGACAAUCAUGAUCAGAGCCAGGGGGGCAGAAAAUGCCACAGCCUUAAAGUAUCUUCACUCACGAUUUACCAGGAAGUUACAACACACAAGAAACAACACACAGAUGAAAAGGACUAAGCCAACAAGCAAACAAAGUCAAACAAUCUUAUUUCACAACGGGAAACCAAUAAUCUUGACUAUCAGCCUGCCCAGAAAAAAAAAUACAAUUCAUCAAUGAAGUUAUUAAAUUAUACAUUGACUUAUCAUUUUAAAAGGUGGAAAUUUAGGGACAGGAGGUAUCUCAAGACAGAAUCAAUCCUAACUUCAACAUACUUAGACAAAACCAAAACUAAACCAGCCAGAACACUGCACGAAUGCGAUUAGAAGGAAUGCUGCUGUUUGCAUAGAUGGACAUGCCCACAGUAUAUGCUCCCUCAAAGCCAUAAUGGAUAGCAGCAUUGGCACCAAUUGCUUGAAAAGUUCCAGUGUUACGUCCUCGACUUCAUUUUGGUUGAGAGAGGAAGUCGGUUUGCACUGAUUACUUCUCCAUGCACUUGUGAUAUUUGCACAGUUGCUUCCAUUCAGGGUAACGAAGUGUUAUGUUAUUUGCACAGAUGAUGCCACCAGUGUUGAGAUGACAAAAAGCAGCUUCUUGCAGGCAUCCAGAAGGAUUACUUGAGAUUUCUCAAGAUAAUGAGAACUCUUUUUUUCUGGUUAACAAAAGUUACUUAAUUAAAGAAAUGAAUUUGUUUCUAAACCAAACUGUAGAACUAUAAAGAAAACAUUAUUGUGGUCAAAUGAAUGAGAAUGAAAUCCAAAGGGUUUCUUUUAUAUCAUUAAUAUUAAGAAGUUGAGCACGGUAAACUGCAUAUUAGACAGUGAUGUGUUAAUUCUAUUCGGUAAAUUCAAAAAGUCAUUUGCAAUUUGUAUUUCACAUGUAACAAUUUUAUAAUCAUUUCCUGAGAAAAUGUAUCAGAUAAACAAACAGCAUUUUUUCAGUUUAUUUUUCUAAAUAAAUGUGUUGUUUGUAGAAGCUGUAGUUGUUUAUUUAAUUUAGUUUUUGUUACCUGGAUAUUCCUCCUUUUGUUUGUCUAAGAGUCUUUUUGCAUAAUUCAGAAUUAAAGAUACCCUGAAAUUUCAAAUCAGUUUAUACUAUAAAUUUAUGCUCUGUUGUCUAAAACCUAAGAAGAUGGUACAUUAUUUACACCAUGACUUUCUUGUAAAGGGCUAUUUAACGUCAUUGUAGCAGGAUCAAGAAUUACUAUCCAUACAACACAAUGUUUCUGGAAAACAAAGUUCAGACCUUAUAAAAGGAAAGAUUUUUCUUGUCCUCUUCCUGGAGAAUAAAAUUAGAUUUAAACACUUAGGUCAUUAAUCAUAGCUAAUGAGCCCUCAUUAUCCCCCCCCACCAGAGGUCUGCUUACAACAUCCAUAAUUAUACUUAAAAUUGACUAAGCAAUCAGACUGGAGGAAAUGAGAACAUCUCAAUCAACAAAGGUUUAUUGAACCCUCACAAAAUGCUCAUCCACAGGUAUGGGUUCUAGGCUGACAAGUAAGUGGUGUGAUCUGAUAUUCAAAUAUCAAAUAUUUUUUAACUAUGAAAAGAGUGAUUCUUGAAUUUAUUCUUAAACUUUAGUCUGAUACUGAAGUCCUGUCAUAUUUUUUUCUGCAAACAAAAACUGGCUGAGUUUCUAUGGUGUAUCUUGCUUGUAACAGUAACAUAUAACAUAAUAAAAAUUUGUUUGCAAUGUAAUUUUGAGCCCUUGAAAAUUAAGACACCAUACCUGAAAAAUAAUACAACUGGAAAUCAAAUGACUGUGGGUUGUUGAAUACUAAGGUAUAAGUGUCUGGAUUCAUUCAGAUUCUUUAAAAUCACAGUGAUUGUUUCAAACUGCAAAUUAUUUGAAAUUAUAUACAGGAAGUCAGCUUUCCCCAACUGAAAGUAAAUUUCAUCAAUAAUGAAUAGUUGAACAUAGCUCUUCAUUUUGUAAACACACUCUGCCGUUAAUAGCACUGUGUAUAAUGUGCUCUAGAAAUUCCUAAAAGAUUUGCAAAGAUAUGAAAUUAUCAGUUUGCUCUUCAGCAGAAUUAUUCUCAUAGGAAUUUAUAAUGUAUGUUAGAUUGAGGUAGGAUAUAGGUGGCCAAACUUGGGAGGGGGUGUUUAAAAUUCUUUCUUUCAGUUUUUCUCUUUAGAUGUUUUGUUUAUUUUCUAGUCUACUUUACUCAUCUCUCAAUCUCUCUCUCUUUGUAUUAAAAUUUUAAGUUCUUCACAGUUUAACUCACAAUUCUGUAUGUCAUUAAUAAACUCUAUGAUGCUGCCCUCAGUUUCCAUUUAGAAGUAUUAAUAAUAGAUUCUUUUCAAGUAAAAUGGACCAAAUAGGUAAUAUUCAGCCACUUUUUGUUCAGUCUUGCUUUCAGAGACAAGCACAUGUAACAAAAUUUCCCAAUGUGCUGUCCCAAAUCCAGGUUUUGGUGGAAGACAAUGCCUUCAGUUACUGGGUGCUCAUUAUAUGUACCGUAUUUAGGUAUAAGAACAAGAAGAUGGGGAGAAAAAUACAGAAAUCCUAUUUUGAUAGAACUGAACAUGUUGGAGAGAAUUACUUCAAACCUUAGCUACAGUAGUUAACAAAAAAAUUAAAACUGUGUAGAAUUCCACAGUGGAAGUCUAUGUUAUGCAAGGACAAUACAUCCACUAAGAGAAGUGAAUUCUGAGCUGUGGAAGAUGGCUAAUUGAGGUUGAAACACAAACAAUCAGGCCCUUGCUAUAGUAAGAGCAAAGAACAUAGUGGUCAGAAGACCUGAAAUAGGCUAAAGAUGGUGGAGCACAGGGAACAACAAAUAGCACAGUGAAAUCUAGUAG